CGUCAGCUCGUGUCGUGAGAUGUUGGGUUAAGUCCCGCAACGAGCGCAACCCUUGUCUUUAACUGCCAUCAUUCAGUUGGGCACUUUAAAGAGACUGCCGGUGUCAAACCGGAGGAAGGUGGGGAUGACGUCAAGUCCUCAUGGCCUUUAUGUCCAGGGCUACACACGUGCUACAAUGGGCGGUACAAAGAGCAGCAAGCUCGCGAGAGUAAGCAAAUCUCAAAAAGCCGUCCUCAGUUCGGAUUGGAGUCUGCAACUCGACUCC
rnacentral:rRNA from 1 species